UGUGAAGGCAGUAAAGGCUCAUCAGGAACAAAACAAAACAAAACAAAACAAAACAAAACAAGACAAAACAAAACAAAACAGCAUGGUCAAUGAAUGCCAAAAAAGGUCUCUACAUUAAAUCAGGCUUGUGGGACAAGACACUAUUCAAAGGAAUGGGAGAAGCACUGAUCCAGAGGUUCCAACACUGUGAUCUGCAACGAACUGGGCUUCAGUGAUCAACAGUCUCCUCAAGACUUAAUCUGUCGGGAAUUUUAUGUGCCCAUGGUCGGCUUCAUCUGUCUUCCAGACAGAGUGAUAAAAAGUGGAAUCACAGCUAAUGGAGUCCCAUGCAGGUUGCUCUGCUCACAGGAGGACAUUAGGAGGAGAGUGGAUCACUUAAUCUUUCAUCAAGGGUUUUGCUGGUUUCAUAUAACUACAACAGUUAUGUGUAUGAAUCUUGAGAAGCCAAACUGGAGAAAAAAAUAUCCAAUCUUGUUCAUCCAUGUUGUAACAUGAAGAAAUAUACUGCCUUUUUUUUUAUGGACAGAUAAUAUUCCACUGUAUGGAUGCACCACAUUUUGCAUAUCCAUUAAUCAGUUGAUGCAUAUUUGGGUCGUUUCCAAUUUUUACUACUGUAAUUCAUG
rnacentral:lncRNA from 1 species